AUUCAGCUGACAAGCGCCAAAUAGGACGAAGGGCGCGUCCUGAAU
rfam:Schistosoma curassoni strain Dakar, Senegal genome assembly, scaffold: SCTD_scaffold0001343